UACGUAGGGUGCAAGCGUUGUCCGGAAUUAUUGGGCGUAAAGGGCUCGUAGGCGGUCUGUCGCGUCGGGGAGUGAAAACUCAGGGCUUAACCCUGAGCCUGCUUCCGAUACGGGCAGACUAGAGGUAUGCAGGGGAGAACGGAAUUCCUGGUGUAGCGGUGAAAUGCGCGAUAUCAGGAGGAACACCGGUGGCGAAGGCGGUUCUCUGGGCAUUACCUGACGCUGAGGAGCGAAAGUGUGGGGAGCGAACAGG
rnacentral:rRNA from 1 species